rnacentral:rRNA from 1 species
UAGGGAAUCUUCCACAAUGGACGAAAGUCUGAUGGAGCAACGCCGCGUGAGUGAAGAAGGGUUUCGGCUCGUAAAACUCUGUUGUUAAAGAAGAACAUAUCUGAGAGUAACUGUUCAGGUAUUGACGGUAUUUAACCAGAAAGCCAACGGCUAACUACGUGCAAG